rnacentral:rRNA from 1 species
GACGAACGCUGGCGGCGUGCUUAACACAUGCAAGUCGAACGGAAAGGCCCUGCUUUUGUGCGGUGCUCGAGUGGCGAACGGGUGAGUAACACGUGAGUAACCUGCCAUUCACUUUGGGAUAUCUUCAGGCAACUGGGGCUAAUACCGGAUAGGAGCUCCUGCUGCAUGGUGGGGGUUGGAAAGUUUCGGCGGUUGGGGAUGGACUCGCGGCUUAUCAGCUUGUUGGUGGGGUAGUGGCUUACCAAGGCUUUGAACGGUAGCCGGCCUGAGAGGGUGACCGGCCACAUUGGGACUGAGAUACGGCCCAGACUCCUACGGGAGGCAGCAGUGGGGAAUAUUGCACAAUGGGCGGAAGCCUGAUGCAGCAACGCCGCGUGCGGGAUGACGGCCUUCGGGUUGUAAACCGCUUUCGCCUGUGACGAAGCGUGAGUGACGGUAAUGGGUAAAGAAGCACCGGCUAACUACGUG